CGGUAACAGUGCCAGCUUGCUGGCAGCUGACGAGUGGCGGACGGGUGAGUAACGCGUAGGAAUUUACCUUGUAGUGGGGGACAACCCGGGGAAACUCGGGCUAAUACCGCAUAAUCUCUACGGAGCAAAGAGGGCCUCUAUUUAUAUGCUCUCGCUAUUAGAUGAGCCUGCGUCGGAUUAGCUUGUUGGUGGGGUAAUGGCCUACCAAGGCAACGAUCCGUAGCUGGUCUGAGAGGACGACCAGCCACACUGGGACUGAGACACGGCCCAGACUCCUACGGGAGGCAGCAGUGGGGAAUAUUGGACAAUGGGCGCAAGCCUGAUCCAGCGAUGCCGCGUGUGUGAAGAAGGCCUUCGGGUUGUAAAGCACUUUCAGUGGGGAAGAAAGGCUUAAGGUUAAUACCCUUAAGAGUUGACGUUACCCACAGAAGAAGCACUGGCUAACUCUGUGCCAGCAGCCGCGGUAAUACAGAGAGUGCAAGCGUUAAUCGGAAUUACUGGGCGUAAAGCGCGCGUAGGUGGAUACUUCAGUCGGAUGUGAAAGCCCUGGGCUUAGCCUAGGAAUUGCAUUCGAUACUGGGUAACUAGAGUAUGGUAGA
rnacentral:rRNA from 1 species